UACGUAGGGUGCAAGCGUUGUCCGGAAUUAUUGGGCGUAAAGAGCUCGUAGGCGGUCUGUCGCGUCUGCUGUGAGAACUCGGGGCUUAACCCCGGGCCUGCAGUGGGUACGGGCAGACUAGAGUGCGGUAGGGAGACUGGAAUUCCUGGUGUAGCGGUGAAAUGCGCAGAUAUCAGGAGGAACACCGGUGGCGAAGGCGGGUCUCUGGGCCACUACUGACGCUGAGAAGCGAAAGCAUGGGGAGCGAACAGG
rnacentral:rRNA from 1 species